rnacentral:rRNA from 1 species
UGGGGAAUAUUGCACAAUGGGGGAAACCCGUGAUGCAGCGACGCCGCGUGAGUGAAGAAGUACCUCGGUAUGUAAAGCUCUGUCAGCAGGGAAGAAAGAAAUGACGGUACCUGACCAAGAAGCACCGGCUAAAUACGUGCC